UUUAUUUAUUACCGUUUGUCUACUUCAAACCGGUAGAGGGCAGCAUUCUAUUGUCUCAAUUAGGUUGUCAUCCUCAACUAUGAACGAAGAAGAUCAAAUUUGACUAAAAAACAACAACAUUCUACACAGUUUUGGGUAGAAUAUUGAUACUUUACCCCAAAUGACCAAUAAAUCCAACCUAAGAAUCACACUGCCCUCAACACAGCACUCGCUGUUGAAGACCCCAUGGGAAAAAUAGCCAGUCUGAAGCUUCCUAUUCUUGGACCAGGUUAUCUACAUUGUGUCUUCCUCGGUCUGUACUUCAUGAGACCCAACAACAUGGUUCUCAUCAGCUUUUCCAUGGGAUGCUACAAAACAAGGAAAUACGACAAAAAGGGGACAUGAAACAGGCGAUGGUGUUGAAGAUUUUCAGAAAAUAUGAAGGUUUAUCUUCACAACAUUAUUCCAAG